rnacentral:rRNA from 1 species
CUACUGGGGUAUCUAAUCCUGUUUGCUCCCCACACUUUCGUUCCUCAGCGUCAGUUACUGUCCAGAAAGUCGCCUUCGCCACUGGUGUUCUUCCUAAUAUCUACGCAUUUCACCGCUACACUAAGAAUUCCACUUUCCCCUCCAGUACUCAAGAAAAAUAGUUUCAAUUGCAGUUCCUCGGUUGAGCCGAGGGAUUUCACAUACUGACUUACUUUCCCGCCUACGAACCCUUUACACCCAAUAAAUCCGGAUAACGCUCGCCCCAUAUGUAUUACCGCGGCUGCUGGCAC